ACAUCGAAUGAUGAUCCGAAGCCGGAUACCGACAAGGUCAAAUAUAAUCCAAAGGAGGACACUGACAAGGUGUUGAAAGAUAAUCCUAAGGAGAAGGAGAAGGAUAAUCCAAAGGAGAAGGAGAAGGAGAAGGAGAAGGAUAAUCCAAAGGAGAAGGAGAAGGAUAAUCCGAAGGAGAAGGAGAAGGAGAAGGAUAAUCCAAGGGAGAAGGAGAAGGAGAAGCAGGAGAGCUGCGCUGGGGUAACCAAAAUCAAAACAUGUGCGGUCAAGGAUGUGGCAGUUGCUUGCAUUAAGAACUUCAGUAGUG
rnacentral:lncRNA from 1 species